rnacentral:pre_miRNA from 1 species
UGGCUUUGGGCUAAGUCAAACUUCUCGAACUUUGACCAAGUUUCUUUGAAAAAUAUAUUAUUAUCUACAAGUUCAAAAUUAACGCACUAUGAUACAUAUUUCAUGAAGAAUUGAAGGAAACUAAUUGAUGUUGUUGAUAUUGGUGCAUUUUUCUAAAAUCUUGGCUAAGUUAGAGAAGUUUGACUUAGAACAAAACCAA